UCCAAUCCUGGUUGUCAAAAUACACUAAAUUUCCCUCUUUGGUGGAAAAACAAUCAACUGCUCUCUUCUAAGUUCUAUUAUUAGAGAGAUAUGCCUAUUGCAUGAGGAGCUACCUCGCUACAUCUUGUGGAAAUAGCUUUUCAGAGCUAGCAAGUGAAGUUAAAAGUUGGGUUAGCAUUGCAUAUCAGGGUUUCCGGCAGGUUUAAGGCUCAUUUUAAAACAUG